ACAGUGGAGCAUGCGGUUUAAUUCGAUGCAAAGCAAAGAACCUUAUCAAGGACUGGCAUGCCAUGAAUCCUCUUGAAGAGAGGGGGUUCCCUUGGGAACGAGAACACAAGUGGUAUGUUGCCAGCUCUUGUCAUAAGGUGCUGGGUUAAGUCUCGCAACGAGCGCAACCCUCGUGUUUAGUUGCCACUAUGAGUUUGGA
rnacentral:ncRNA from 1 species